ACAUUAUUCUUUGCUGGUGCUGUGCUUCCUUCAUGCAGCUGAAAUUAAAAUGAAUAACACUUUCAGAACACUUUCACAGAAUCCUACAAUAUAAAGCCAAAAUGCAGGGCUGGAGGUUUUUAUUUUUCCCUGUUUUUUUUAAAUAAUGUUUUUCACUCUAUGUUUGAAGGUUAUUUCAAAUCAAACAACGCAUCAAAAUAAUAAAGUUAAUCUCAGUUAAUCAGCUGCAGCAUGAGACACACUUCAGCUGAUUCUUGAUGAUAAAUAUAUCUAAAUAAAUAUUUAUGUAGACUGUCAUUUGUUAUAAGCUUUCAACAUAUCUGUGAACAUCAAACAGUGA